AGCACCCUUUGGGUGUGACUGCGUACCUUUUGUAUAAUGGGUCAGCGACUUAUAUUCUGUAGCAAGGUUAACCGAAUAGGGGAGCCGGAGGGAAACCGAGUCUUAACCGGGCGUUAAGUUGCAGGGUAUAGACCCGAAACCCGGUGAUCUAGCCAUGGGCAGGUUGAAGGUUGGGUAACACUAACUGGAGGACCGAACCGACUAAUGUUGAAAAAUUAGCGGAUGACCUGUGGCUGGGGGUGAAAGGCCAAUCAAACCGGGAGAUAGCUGGUUCUCCCCGAAAGCUAUUUAGGUAGCGCCUCGUGAAUUCAUCUCCGGGGGUAGAGCACUGUUUCGGCUAGGGGGCCAUCCCGGCUUACCAACCCGAUGCAAACUGCGAAUACCGGAGAAUGUUAUCACGGGAGACACACGGCGGGUGCUAACGUCCGUCGUGAAGAGGGAAACAACCCAGACCGCCAGCUAAGGUCCCAAAGUCAUGGUUAAGUGGGAAACGAUGUGGGAAGGCCCAGACAGCCAGGAUGUUGGCUUAGAAGCAGCCAUCAUUUAAAGAAAGCGUAAUAGCUCACUGGUCGAGUCGGCCUGCGCGGAAGAUGUAACGGGGCUAAACCAUG
rnacentral:rRNA from 2 species